UACGUAGGGGGCAAGCGUUGUCCGGAUUUAUUGGGCGUAAAGAGCGUGUAGGCGGCCAGACAGGUCAGCUGUGAAAACUCGAGGCUCAACCUCGAGACGUCGGUUGAAACCGUCUGGCUAGAGUCCGGAAGAGGAGAGUGGAAUUCCCGGUGUAGCGGUGAAAUGCGCAGAUAUCGGAAAGAACACCCGUGGCGAAGGCGGCUCUCUGGGACGGUACUGACGCUGAGACGCGAAAGCGUGGGGAGCGAACAGG
rnacentral:rRNA from 1 species